rnacentral:misc_RNA from 1 species
CCGUCCACUUUACAAGAUACUCAUUCUUCCCAUCAUCGCCAACUCUCUUACCCAUCCCACCCUCCGCCACAGCAUACUCUAGUCCUCCCUCAAAAUCCUUCACUAAAUCCUCGCCGAUAAACUGGGCUUUCAUCCACUCAUUAUUACUCCCGUCCUUCCAUUUGACCAAAUACUCCACCUUAUCGCCCUUCCCUCUCCUCUCCAAUAUCUCCUGCACCUCCGCGUACUCGAAUAUUUCCUCGUCUAGAAUUUUUAUUACAUUUUCU